rnacentral:rRNA from 1 species
GGAUGGGCAUGCGGCGCAUUAGCUAGUCGGCGGGGUAACGGCCCACCGAGGCGACGAUGCGUAGGGGUUCUGAGAGGAAGGCCCCCCACACUGGUACUGAGACACGGACCAGACUCCUACGGGAGGCAGCAGUGAGGAAUAUUGGUCAAUGGGCGCGAGCCUGAACCAGCCAAGUCGCGUGAGGGAGGACGGCCCUACGGGUUGUAAACCUCUUUUGCCGGGGAGCAACGGGCGUCACGUGUGGCGCCACUGAGAGUACCCGGAGAAAAAGCAUCGGCUAACUCCGUGCCAGCAGCCGCGGUAAUACGGAGGAUGCGAGCGUUAUCCGGAUUUAUUGGGUUUAAAGGGUGCGUAGGCGGAUCGUUAAGUCAGUGGUCAAAUUGAGGGGCUCAACCCCUUCCCGCCAUUGAAACUGGCGAUCUUGAGUGGAAGAGAAGUAUGCGGAAUGCGUGGUGUAGCGGUGAAAUGCAUAGAUAUCACGCAGAACCCCGAUUGCGAAGGCAGCAUGCCGGCUUCCGACUGACGCUGAAGCACGAAAGCGUGGGGAUCGAACAGGAUUAGAUACCCUGGUAGUCCACGCGGUAAACGAUGAGCGCUAGGUGUCCGG